AGUCGGGCCUCCGCCCUUCCGGGCCGCGCGCACGUGAGCGCGCCGCUCCGCCUGUCUAAUUUUAGCUCUGAGGUGUCAGGGUCGUGCGAGGGGCUUCCGAUCUCUGUAUCUUCCCUGCUGAACUCAAGAUGGUUUCCUGCAUGUCUGUGAGGAGUGGAGGAGGACAUGUCUGUCAUCCAGAGUAACCGGGUCAAGGAUGUGUGGUUAGAUUGGAAAGGAAGACAUCUGCUUGCAUCAGCUCAACUUUGAAGACAGGGGGUGCACUGACCCCCACCCUCUCUCCCAUCUCACAUGAGGAUGACCAGAGAGGGUUGGUGUUCGAGAUUUGCCAUAAUGUGUGGGAUCAGGAACCAGAUAAAAGUUUAGUGUUGAAGAAAUGAAUGCCAGGCACCUUGUAAAAUUGGCACCGCAGCCCUGUCAUCAGAAAGUGAGCUGUUCUUUUGACACACAGAGUUGUUUGCCAUGUCACAGUGACCUGCAUUCUGUUAGUGAGGGAGCCUCAGGUUUCACAUGGGUUGUCUCUGUAUAAGCUGUAAAAUGAUAGCCUCUGGCCUUUAUGGUAUUGGGAAACUUGAAGUGUUUAAUGAUAAAAGUGGUUUCUAAUGGUUGA
rnacentral:lncRNA from 1 species